rnacentral:rRNA from 1 species
ACGCUCGACACCUACGGGAGACAGCAGUGGGGAAUAUUGCACAAUGGAGGAAACUCUGAUGCAGCGACGCCGCGUGAGGGAAGAAGGUCUUCGGAUUGUAAACCUCUGUUGUCAGGGACGAUGAUGACGGUACCUGACGAGGAAGCCACGGCUAACUACGUGCCAGCAGCCGCGGUAAUCUGAGCGGGCUGGCAAGGC